UUUUAUCCAUCGCACUUUUCAGCGUGAAUACCGAUGCUUCCCGAGGCUUAGAUACCCAGUUAUUUCGCACAAUAGACAUUGAAGCAUAUUUUUUUUAUUUUUAUUUUUUUUCAUUCAUCAUUAUUUCACAUGGUUCUGUAACAACAUAAGCAAGUUAAACAGUUCUUAAGUCGUGAAAUCAGUGUACAUAGACAACUCCACAAAUAACUUAGCCAAAUAAACAUGCUUCUCAUAUUCAAGUACUCAUGUAUCACAAAUUCAAUUCAAAUCAAUUACUAUGGAUCAUGGCUUAGUUGUCAUCAUUCAUUAA
rnacentral:lncRNA from 1 species